UGGGGAAUAUUGCACAAUGGAGGGAACUCUGAUGCAGCGACGCCGCGUGAACGAAGAAGGCUUUCGAGUCGUAAAGUUCUUUUAUCUGGGAAGAUAAUGACGGUACCAUAAGAAAAAGCCCCGGCUAACUACGUGCCAGUAGCCGCGGUAAUACGUAGGGGGCUAGCGUUGUCCGGAAUCACUGGGCGUAAAGGGUUCGCAGGCGGUAAUGCAAGUCAGGUGUAAAAGGCAGUAGCUUAACUACUGUAAGCAUUUGAAACUGCAUAUCUUGAGAAGAGUAGAGGUAAGUGGAAUUUUUAGUGUAGCGGUGAAAUGCGUAGAUAUUAAAAAGAAUACCGGUGGCGAAGGCGACUUACUGGGCUCAUUCUGACGCUGAGGAACGAAAGCGUGGGUAGCAAACAGG
rnacentral:rRNA from 1 species